GGGCGGCGGGGCCCGGGCGGGCAUGGCGGCGGCGGGAAAGAGGCGCGGGGACGCGGCCGGUUACCUGAGGCCUCCCGCGGCAGCCGCCAUCGAGGGGGAACCCAUGUCACGGCGACAGGAACCGCGUCGCGGCGGCCCGGCCCCCUCCCGGCGGCCACCGCCUCCCGCCCCGCCGCCACCGCCCACUUGGCCCCGCUUCUCCCGUCAGCCCCCGCGCUGCCACCGCCCUCGGAACCGGCGUCACUCCCAGCAACGGCCGCGAGAACGCGAAGGAAUAAAUAAGCGAGGAACGCUGCUGCGGGAAUGGCUGCCCCGUUACAGGAAGCGGCCAGGCCGCUGCUCGGCCGCCAUCUUGAGUGCUGGCAAACUGCCUCGCUCGCUGUGGGUCGGCCAUCUUGGACGAGGGGUGAGGCGGCUGGCAGGGAGAAAUUGAAUUCUACAUACCUAUGGCAAGAAAAGGGCGCAAACAAGCUCAAUAGCGGCAGCACAGUGUAGGAAGUUACAGGCAGAAGAGUGCACUGAGAGCUGGUAUGUGAAGGGAACAGCAUAGUGACAAAGGAUAGACAACAGCCCAGUUCAUCGGCACAGGCGUGAAGAACUGCACACAGAAAAGGAACAGCCUUCCUACUAUAGUUGUGUCCAG